rnacentral:rRNA from 1 species
CUUGCUCUGUGGGAUCAGUGGCGAACGGGUGAGUAACACGUGAGCAACCUGCCCCUGACUCUGGGAUAAGCGCUGGAAACGGCGUCUAAUACUGGAUAUGUGACGUGACCGCAUGGUCUGCGUCUGGAAAGAAUUUCGGUUGGGGAUGGGCUCGCGGCCUAUCAGCUUGUUGGUGAGGUAAUGGCUCACCAAGGCGUCGACGGGUAGCCGGCCUGAGAGGGUGACCGGCCACACUGGGACUGAGACACGGCCCAGACUCCUACGGGAGGCAGCAGUGGGGAAUAUUGCACAAUGGGCGCAAGCCUGAUGCAGCAACGCCGCGUGAGGGACGACGGCCUUCGGGUUGUAAACCUCUUUUAGCAGGGAAGAAGCGAAAGUGACGGUACCUGCAGAAAAAGCGCCGGCUAACUACGUGCCAGCAGCCGCGGUAAUACGUAGGGCGCAAGCGUUAUCCGGAAUUAUUGGGCGUAAAGAGCUCGUAGGCGGUUUGUCGCGUCUGCUGUGAAAUCCGGAGGCUCAACCUCCGGCCUGCAGUGGGUACGGGCAGACUAGAGUGCGGUAGGGGAGAUUGGAAUUCCUGGUGUAGCGGUGGAAUGCGCAGAUAUCAGGAGGAACACCGAUGGCGAAGGCAGAUCUCUGGGCCGUAACUGACGCUGAGGAGCGAAAGGGUGGGGAGCAAACAGGCUUAGAUACCCUGGUAGUCCACCCCGUAAACGUUGGGAACUAGUUGUGGGGUCCAUUCCACGGAUUCCGUGACGCAGCUAACGCAUUAAGUUCCCCGCCUGGGGAGUACGGCCGCAAGGCUAAAACUCAAAGGAAUUGACGGGGACCCGCACAAGCGGCGGAGCAUGCGGAUUAAUUCGAUGCAACGCGAAGAACCUUACCAAGGCUUGACAUAUACGAGAACGGGCCAGAAAUGGUCAACUCUUUGG